UUCCGGUUGAUCCCGCCGGAGGUUACUGCUAUCGAGGUUCGACUAAGCCAUGCGAGUCGAAUGCCGCAAGGCAUGGCGUACUGCUCAGUAACACGUGGACAACCUACCCUUAGGUCGGGGAUAACCCCGGGAAACUGGGUAUAAUACCCAAUAGUCCUCGAAUGCUGGAAUGCACCGAGGACGAAAGCUCCGGUGCCUAAGGAUGGGUCUGCGGCCUAUCAGGUAGUAGUGGGUGUAGCGUACCUACUAGCCUACGACGGGUACGGGUUGUGAGAGCAAGAGCCCGGAGAUGGAUUCUGAGACACGAAUCCAGGCCCUACGGGGUGCAGCAGGCGCGAAAACUUUACAAUGCUGGCAACAGCGAUAAGGGAACCUCGAGUGCCAGGUUACAAAUCUGGCUGUCGAGAUGCCUAAAAAGCAUUUCAUAGCAAGGGCCGGGCAAGACCGGUGCCAGCCGCCGCGGUAACACCGGCGGCUCGAGUGGUAACCGUUAUUAUUGGGUCUAAAGGGUCUGUAGCCGGCCGGAUAAGUCUCUUGGGAAAUCUGGCAGCUCAACUGUCAGGCUAUCAGGAGAUACUGUCUGGCUCGAGGCCGGGAGAGGUGAGAGGUACUUCAGGGGUAGGGGUGAAAUCUUGUAACCCUUGAAGGACCACCAGUGGCGAAGGCGUCUCACCAGAACGGACCUGACGGCAAGGGACGAAAGCUAGGGGCACGAACCGGAUUAGAUACCCGGGUAGUCCUAGCCGUAAACGAUACUCGCUAGGUGUCGGCCACGGUGCGACCGUGGUCGGUGCCGUAGGGAAGCCGUGAAGCGAGCCACCUGGGAAGUACGGCCGCAAGGCUGAAACUUAAAGGAAUUGGCGGGGGAGCACCACAACGGGUGGAGCUUGCGGUUUAAAUGGAUUCAACGCCGGG
rnacentral:rRNA from 1 species